rnacentral:misc_RNA from 1 species
UAUAAAUAUAAAAUCAUUCAAGUAUUUGACCAAGAUAUUUAAAAACAUUAAACUUAAAAAUAACAACUAUUAAUAAAGUAAAGAAAAUUAGAUAAAAAAAGUAGAGAUUAAAUCAAGUCAAACUACAUCAAAUCCCUAAUUAAAAUAUCUAGCCACUCAUAAUAUAAAAAACCAUAAUAAAACUGAACAAAUCAAACUCAACAUCAUUGAACAAAAAUGGAUUUCUUCGUAGAGAAAAUUAGAUCAAAAUUUAGAGAUUAAAUCAAAUCAGCUACAUCAAAUCCCUAAUUAAAAUAUCUAGCCACUCAUAAUAUAAAAAACCAUAAUAAAACUGAACAAAUCAAACUCAACAUCAUUGAACAAAAAUGGAUUUCUUCGUAGAGAAAAUUAGAUCAAAAUUUAGAGAUUAAAUCAAAUCAG